UACGGAGGGUGCAAGCGUUGUUCGGAUUUGCUGGGCGUAAAGCGUGCGCAGGCGGUCUGUUAAGACCGAUGUGAAAUCCCCGGGCUUAACCUGGGAACUGCAUUGGUGACUAGCAGGCUUUGAGUGUGGCAGAGGGAGGUAGAAUUCCAGGUGUAGCGGUGAAAUGCGUAGAGAUCUGGAGGAACACCGAUGGCGAAGGCAGCCUUCUGGGCCAACACUGACGCUCAUGCACGAAAGCGUGGGGAGCAAACAGG
rnacentral:rRNA from 1 species